AGCAGUAGCCUUAGAAGGCAAUCAAAGGCAAUCAUGUAUGUUGUCACAAAGAUGGUGAGUGGUAAGGGUAGCAUGGAUUUAAUUAUCUCAGGACAAAAUCUAAAGUGGGGUGAGGGUAGUUGGGUGAAAAUACAGCCACAUGAUUUGAUCUAUAUGUUAAUGGACUCACACAUUUAAAGUGAAAGGAUGAUGUCAGAGAUCAUCUAGCCUAAAAUCUUCAUUCUAUAGAGGAGGAAGCUAAGAGAAUCCAAACCAAGGAGAGAGUCAGGAUCCUAAUCACCAGAACUGAAAACAAAUGCAGCUAAUGGAAAAGGUAAGUGGGCAUAAAAACAGACCAACAGAAAGAAAGUCAGAUUUGGAGAGGAGAACAAAAAGGAAGAGGUUCAGAAAAAGGACAUGAAAAGUGAGAGGAAAAGGAAAAGAAGGAAGAACAGGGAUGAGAAGAGGAGUUAAAGAAGGAAGAAGAAAGGAAAGAAGAGCUAGAAGAGAAGGAAGUGGAAACAGAAGAAAGGAUUACCAACAACAACAAAAAGACCAAGAAAAAGUUCUGAUCUAUCUUGCCUGUAUAUUGUCAUCCUUUCCAAGGCCAAAAUAAAAUAGCUGGUAUCCAGCAUGAUAGGAGAUUAGUGGAAGGCAAAUAUGUCCUCAAUAAUCUUUAUUCCCUGGUUCAUAAAUUAUCAACUAGCCAUAAUAAUUAUAGGAGCUAAAUAUAAAAGCUGGGUCUCUUUUUCUUGAAAUUUCUGACUUAGGAACUGGGGUAUGCUUGGUUCUGAGAAACACUAAAAAGCACUGGGACCAAGUGAACUCAGUAGAAUGUGAAGGAAACUAAAAGAUAAAAGAGGUGAGGAGCUAAGAGACACGAAACAAACUCUAUAUGAGAAACUCAAGAAAUAAAAGAUCAAGAUAGGUGAGCUGAAAGAAAAGGGAUGGUAGGAGUGGUAGUCUUGAAAAGGAGAAGAAAAAAUUUGAAAAAUCCUUUUUAUGCUUGGACUCAAGAAUCUCCCUAUAAAUUCACCCAAUGCCUCCUGAGAGGAAAC